rnacentral:rRNA from 1 species
AUGUGGCCGGGCUGGCAGCAUCGGAGGACGGCGCCGGGGCGGGUUGUCGUGGAGGAGCCGCAGCAGCUGGUCUACUUCUCGUACCCCACCGAUGCGGAGGGCGGCCGAGGUACGGCCGGGGCGUCGGUGUUGAUGUGCGCGAUCUGCCUGGAGGAGCUGGUGGGCGGGACGGAGUGCAGCGAGGUGCCGGCGUGCCGGUACGUGUUCCAUCGGGGCUGUCUCGCGCUGUGGAUCAAGAGCAAGAGCACCUGCCCGCUCUGCAGGGAGCUUGUCGUGCCGGGGCCAGAGCCCCCGUCAGCUGCCGAUAACAUGGUUUAG